CUUGGUCAUUUAGAGGAAGUAAAAGUCGUAACAAGGUCUCCGUUGGUGAACCAGCGGAGGGAUCAUUACCGAGUUUACAACUCCCAAACCCCUGUGAACAUACCACUUGUUGCCUCGGCGGAUCAGCCCGCUCCCGGUAAAACGGGACGGCCCGCCAGAGGACCCCUAAACUCUGUUUCUAUAUGUAACUUCUGAGUAAAACCAUAAAUAAAUCAAAACUUUCAACAACGGAUCUCUUGGUUCUGGCAUCGAUGAAGAACGCGGCAAAAUGCGAUAAGUAAUGUGAAUUGCAGAAUUCAGUGAAUCAUCGAAUCUUUGAACGCACAUUGCGCCCGCCAGUAUUCUGGCGGGCAUGCCUGUUCGAGCGUCAUUUCAACCCUCAAGCACAGCUUGGUGUUGGGACUCGCGUUAAUUCGCGUUCCUCAAAUUGAUUGGCGGUCACGUCGAGCUUCCAUAGCGUAGUAGUAAAACCCUCGUUACUGGUAAUCGUCGCGGCCACGCCGUUAAACCCCAACUUCUGAAUGUUGACCUCGGAUCAGGUAGGAAUACCCGCUGAACUUAAGCAUAUCAAUAAGCGGAGGA
rnacentral:rRNA from 1 species